rnacentral:rRNA from 1 species
AUUGAACGCUGGCGGAAUGCUUUACACAUGCAAGUCGAACGGGAGCACGGACUUCGGUCUGGUGGCGAGUGGCGAACGGGUGAGUAAUGUAUCGGAACGUGCCCAGUCGUGGGGGAUAACGUAGUGAAAAUUACGCUAAUACCGCAUACGAUCUAUGGAUGAAAGCGGGGGACCGUAAGGCCUCGCGCGAUUGGAGCGGCCGAUAUCAGAUUAGGUAGUUGGUGGGGUAAAGGCUCACCAAGCCGACGAUCUGUAGCUGGUCUGAGGGGACGACCAGCCACACUGGAACUGAGAGACGGUCCAGACUCCUACGGGAGGCAGCAGUGGGGAAUUUUGGACAAUGGGCGCAAGCCUGAUCCAGCCAUUCCGCGUGCAGGAUGAAGGCCCUCGGGUUGUAAACUGCUUUUGUACGGAACGAAAAGGCUCUGGUUAAGACCUGGGGCUCAUGACGGUACCGUAAGAAUAAGCACCGGCUAACUACGUGCCAGCAGCCGCGGUAA